CGCGGCGGGGCCGGGGUCGCGGGGAGGGGGGCGUCCUAGAGCUUGGCCUGGGCUGCUGGACUCUGAUUGGCCUGCCGGUGUCUGAGGGAGCGGAUUCGAGGCCAUUCUGACCCUCGCCCCUUGUCCUGCAGUGACCAUUGUCAGUGGCCUUCUCAUGCUGCUACUGUUCCUGUCUGAGCUGCAGUAUUACCUCACCACGGAGGUGCAUCCUGAGCUCUACGUGGACAAGUCGCGGGGAGAUAAACUGAAGAUCAACAUCGAUGUACUUUUUCCGCACAUGCCUUGUGCCUAUCUGAGUAUUGAUGCCAUGGAUGUGGCCGGGGAACAGCAGCUGGAUGUGGAACACAACCUGUUCAAGCAACGACUAGAUAAAGAUGGCAUCCCCGUGAGCUCAGAGGCUGAGCGGCAUGAGCUUGGGAAAGUCGAGGUGACGGUGUUUGACCCUGACUCCCUGGACCCUGAUCGCUGUGAGAGCUGCUAUGGUGCUGAGGCAGAAGAUAUCAAGUGCUGUAACACCUGUGAAGAUGUGCGGGAGGCAUAUCGCCGUCGAGGCUGGGCCUUCAAGAACCCAGAUACUAUUGAGCAGUGCCGGCGAGAGGGCUUCAGCCAGAAGAUGCAGGAGCAGAAGAAUGAAGGCUGCCAGGUGUAUGGCUUCUUGGAAGUCAAUAAGGUGGCCGGAAACUUCCACUUUGCCCCUGGGAAGAGCUUCCAGCAGUCCCAUGUGCACG
rnacentral:sRNA from 1 species